GACGAACGCUGGCGGCGUGCUUAACACAUGCAAGUCGAACGGAAAGGCCCUGCUUUUGUGGGGUGCUCGAGUGGCGAACGGGUGAGUAACACGUGAGUAACCUGCCCUUGACUUUGGGAUAACUUCAGGAAACUGGGGCUAAUACCGGAUAGGAGCUCCUGCUGCAUGGUGGGGGUUGGAAAGUUUCGGCGGUUGGGGAUGGACUCGCGGCUUAUCAGCUUGUUGGUUGGGUAGUGGCUUACCAAGGCUUUGACGGGUAGCCGGCCUGAGAGGGUGACCGGGCACAAUGGGGCCUGAGUACCGGCCAAGCUCCUUCGGGGAGGAAGAGUGGGGGAAUUUGGACCAUGGGGCGGAACCCUGAGCAAGAACGGCGGGGUGCGGAAGGACGCCUUCCGGGUGGAAACCCGUUUCGGCUUGUGCGGAAGCGUGAGUGACGGAAUGGGUAAAGGAAGAACCGCUAAAUUACGU
rnacentral:rRNA from 1 species